UACGGAGGGUGCAAGCGUUAUCCGGAUUCACCGGGUUUAAAGGGUGCGUAGGUGGGUAGGAAAGUCAGUGGUGAAAUCUUCGGGCUUAACCCGGAAACUGCCAUUGAUACUAUUUAUCUUGAAUACCGUGGAGGUUAGCGGAAUAUGUCAUGUAGCGGUGAAAUGCUUAGAUAUGACAUAGAACACCAAUUGCGAAGGCAGCUCACUACACAAUCAUUGACGCUGAGGCACGAAAGCGUGGGGAUCAAACAGG
rnacentral:rRNA from 1 species